GCCACGGUGGUCUAGCGGUUAGGACGCUGGCCUUGUAAUCCUGGGGUCUCGGGUUCGAUUCCCGGCGGUGCCC
rfam:Zootermopsis nevadensis contig21432, whole genome shotgun sequence.